rnacentral:rRNA from 1 species
AUUGAACGCUGGCGGCAUGCCUUACACAUGCGAGUCGAACGGUAACAGGUCUUCGGAUGCUGACGAGUGGCGAACGGGUGAGUAAUACAUCGGAACGUGCCCGAUCGUGGGGGAUAACGAAGCGAAAGCUUUGCUAAUACCGCAUAAGAUCUACGGAUGAAAGCAGGGGACCGCAAGGCCUUGCGCGAACGGAGCGGCCGAUGGCAGAUUAGGUAGUUGGUGGGAUAAAAGCUUACCAAGCCGACGAUCUGUAGCUGGUCUGAGAGGAGGACCAGCCACACUGGGACUGGGACACGGCCCAGACUCCUACGGGAGUCAGCAGUGGGGAAUUUUGGACAAUGGGCGAAAGCCUGAUCCAGCCAUGCCGCGUGCAGGAUGAAGGCCUUCGGGUUGUAAACUGCUUUUGUACGGAACGAAAAGACUCUUUCUAAUAAAGAGGGUCCAUGACGGUACCGUAAGAAUAAGCACCGGCUAACUACGUGCCAGCAGCCGCAGUAACAC